UUCGAAAUUACAGUAAUGUUUACUUACUCCGCGCUAUUUACGAGGUUUUAAAGGGGGGCAAAACGCAGAAACCGAAAAACAUACAUUUUAUUUUUAUAACUGUAAUUAAUAAUAAUAUAAUAAUAAACAAUAGAAGGUGAUUAACGUAGGAAAAACAAGAAUAAAAAUGGUUCACUUUUUCCUGUAGCGAUUGCGUGUUAGUAAAACCAACAGGGAACGUGGGAGUAAAAAAAAAACGGGGAGCAGUUAUGCAGAAAGCGUAAAGUUUUCGAUGUGGACCGUGUCACGAAACAAUGAAGGUUGCAUGGUUGAGUUUCCAUUAGGAAUGGAGAAAGAUUUCAUUUCCUACAACUUAAAAAGAGGCAGCUAACGGCACUACUUGGCACAGAACAGCAAUUGCAUGCUGAGUACUUCUAAGAGAUGCCCAAAAAAGAGCAUAACCCAAGACCCUGUGAUGGAUGUCCGAAUGAGCAGCCAUGACCAACUCAUUGUCUCACACUAGGUAACAUUGCUAAACAAGGUAUCCUGUAUACAGUUAAAGGAAAUGUAAGAGUUUGAGUAAAAUUUUUCAUGUUUCAUUGAACAGUCUUAGCCAAAGACAACAGAUGCAGUAUGGUGCUGAUCAUGUUAAAACUAUUGUUUCUUUUACAUAAGCAUACAGCAAUUUCUAGUAUGGUGUUUAUUGACAUAAUGGUGUAGUUGGCUGCUGUAAAAGCUACAACGUUGGCAGAUUGUGGGGUAUGUACCACCUAUAAAUUGCAAAUGUAAUACAGUGGAGCAUUGAUUAUCCAACUCAAUUGGGGACUGGGAUAACUGAAAAAAAUGGAUAACCGAAAAGUAUGAAAAAAUACAUUAUUUUUAUAGUA